rfam:Cavia porcellus supercont2_37 genomic scaffold, whole genome shotgun sequence.
GGGGAUUUAGCUCAGCGGCAUAAGCGCCUGCCUUGCAAGCAGGUGGUCGUGAGUUCGAUCCCUG